GUAAAGUGGAACACAGCAGGGCAAAUGUGCUAGUCAACUGUCAUUGCUUACCCUGGAAAUUUCCCCAGGAGCGGAGUCAUCAACUUACAGAAUGUUACCACCAAGGGGACUUUCAAGAUCUGGUCACCUGACCAAAUACCAGAGACGGUAACUGCUUUGCCCAAGGUCACACUGCUGGUUAGGGGCAGGGCUGGGGCUAGAGUCCACGUAGCUCUGGAAAAAGUUUGGGCAGAUGCUAUCUCAUCCCAUGAACUUCUUCCCUUCCUACCCAUUCUGUCUCCCCAAAGGAGGUCCCUGAUGCCCUAACAUGGUCAGGGAACUACCUGGGCUCACUCACAGCUCUUACAGCAUUUGCUGGGACCUUGGCCAGGUGGAGUUACCAAAAUCCUGUAGACUGGAGGCAGGGGGAUCCAACUAUCACCAUAUUAGAGAUUGGCAAACUGAGGCAGCUAGCUAACCGCAGAGGGCAAGAUUUGAUAUUGAGUACUGUGUUCCUCCUGUAGAAAGACCUGAGAAGCCCAAACUCCCACAUAUGCAGAGUCACUAUUCACAAUAAUCAUGACUGCUGACUUCCUAAUGUCAGGGAAAUCCCCUCACUCCCACCAGUUCCUCCUGAAACAGAGCCUCCCUCCAUCUUGCACAGGGUGUCUGACUUAGGAAACAAACUGUACACCCACCCUCCUAAGCCACCCAGGCCUACUAGAUAGAUCACCUCCGAGUCAUACCCUUUAAUGGGGAAAUCACCCUUCUUUGUGCCAGGCACUUGACAUCGUCACUGCUCACAUCAGCCCUAAGCCCCUGCCCGGGGGUACUGAUGCCCCAUUUACAGAGGGACAAGCCGGAUUUCGGAGAGGUGAAGUCACUCGCCGAAAGUCGCACCGCCAGGGUCUGCGUGACACCCUAAAGCAGUGUUCAGUUACCCCGGGGAGAGCGCGAUGAACUUGAACCACUUGUUGGCUGGUUCCUGCUCUUGCUCGUUUUUUGCGGAUCGACACAUAGUGGGCGCUCAGGAAAAUAAAUGUUGGAAGCUUGAGAUUGAACUUGACAGCUCGACCCUAGGUACCCGCCACGAAUCCAGCCCAGCCCGCGGGGCACCGGGUUUCUCCAGACCUCGCAGGGAACAUUUGCGGAUGGGCUGGUAGAGGAGGCUCGGACAUCCCAGUUCCGCACCCGCACUCGACCAACGCGUGGUAGCGGAACCCCUGUCGUAGCGAGGCACAGACUGGGUUCAAGUCCCGACUCUGCCGAUUUCAGCCUGAGUGACUUUGAGCGAGUCACUUUUUCCCGUCGAAACCUCAGUUGCUCCAUCCACAAAAUGGGAAAUAUGAACAGCCACCCUAAAACGGUGUGGGGAGGAUUAAACGAAACAACGUUCCCAAAACUCUAAACUUACAAAUGUUGUCUCCCGUCCAUCCCAUAAACUUAGGCGACAAACCUGGCGCAGGGUGACCUGAGACAAAGGCUUCCCGGCCCCUGUCUCCAAGUCGUCCAUCCCUGGGGCGUAGGCACGUUUUAGUGAGCCCUGUCCGGCGAAACCCGAAACUGCGGCCACCUUGGCAGCGGUGGGCCCCAAAAGGAAAUAUUCAAAUAUUCUGAAACUCGUGCAUGAUUUAGGACUGACAUUUUUACGUUUAAUUUUCUUGCAGUUUUAUUCUUGCUAGUAAAGGUAAUUCGUUAGAAACCCUUAA
rnacentral:lncRNA from 1 species